rnacentral:rRNA from 1 species
AUCCAGACUCCUACGGGAGGCAGCAGUGGGGAAUAUUGCACAAUGGGCGCAAGCCUGAUGCAGCCAUGCCGCGUGUAUGAAGAAGGCCUUCGGGUUGUAAAGUACUUUCAGCGGGGAGGAAGGGGUUAAGGUUAAUAACCUUAGCCAUUGACGUUACCCGCAGAAGAAGCACCGGCUAACUCCGUGCCAGCAGCCGCGGUAAUACGGAGGGUGCAAGCGUUAAUCGGAAUUACUGGGCGUAAAGCGCACGCAGGCGGUUUGUUAAGUCAGAUGUGAAAUCCCCGGGCUCAACCUGGGAACUGCAUCUGAUACCGGCAAGCUUGAGUCUCGUAGAGGGGGGUAGAAUUCCAGGUGUAGCGGUGAAAUGCGUAGAGAUCUGGAGGAAUACCGGUGGCGAAGGCGGCCCCCUGGACGAAGACUGACGCUCAGGUGCGAAAGCGUGGGGAGCAAACAGGAUUAGAUACCCCUGUA